CUCAGUCACAUCAUCAUCGUCUAGGAUCAGUCGACUCCCACUCCCAGUCGACUAAUAUACCCGACUUCAGUUCCUCUCUAAGUGCCUCCUCCACUCUUUCUACGAACACCGACUCAUCUCCGACCUUCUCUCUCAUCUCCGACCCAGCACCUCCGCCCACCGGCCGAGCACACAACCAACGGUCCCUCUAGAGAUCUUCGAGAAGCUGCAACAACGACUGCUGGUUUUACAAAGCUCAGGAAGAAAUUGUGUCCAUACAAGUUCUUAGCAUGAGGAGACUUGGAGGAGUUGGGGCUGUUGUUCCUCUCAUCACAGAUGGUCAGGCUGAGGUGAUGAGAACCUCUGUGAUCAUGGAGUUAAUAUAAUGUUAUUCCCUAACAAGUACACGGGAUAUGAGUGAGUGUUUAUACAUUUUUAGUUUAUUAACUUUUGAGUUAGUUUGAUCUAAUUUCUUGACUCUGUGGGUGAAAGGACCACGCUUUCCGAUGUGCAAGGUAUGAAGAUGAACCAUUUCAUUGUGUCACUCAUUUGCUAAAUGCUUUGGCUGUUUGGAUAUGCUUUUUCUACAGUAUUAUUUACCUAAAAUACCACAAAUUCUAUGGACUUACUUCAUGUCCCUUGCUUAGAAUAUUUAUUGCUUGUUGAGGCAUCUAUAUUGUGGUUAUGGUAUGUAUAGAAGUAACUUUAAAAAUUUUGGUACACUCUUCCCAGCUAUGUUCUAACAUAAAUAAAGGGUAGCCAGACCUACAAAGUUGAUUGCUUAUAUGAUGUCCUUCAUAGUACAAGAAUGAUUUAAGAGGCUCGCAAAAGGAAGAUUUAAUGUAGAUUUAAAAGCUGAAGAAGAAGAACUAAAAGUGCAAGAGAAAUUGGAGCUCUGCACUCUUCAGGUUGCCAAAAAUAAACUUAUGAAACACGUUGAAGAUUUGACAUUGAGAUUACAACUAGAAAAACUGUACAUGUAGCUUCUUUAUGGACUCAUGCUGCAAUCUGGCUUAGCUCAUUUUAGUGGUUGGAGAUCCAGAAAUGAGAAGAGAUGGACUAUGAGAAGAGAUGGACUGAGAGUGGCCUUUGAAGCUUCAAAGUUUUGCAAUGAAGGUAAUAAAGAAGCUCCUCACAUGGGCAGCCCCAGUGCUGAUUGUUUUGAUCUCUUAGUACUCUAGAUUAAAUAUUAUUUAUUUUUAACUUACAUAUGAACUUUAUUUUUUAUUUCUUUAAAAAUUUAAAAUCCCAAAUCUAGAAAAUUAAAAGUUUAGAUUUAUAAUCUUUACAAAUAUGAAAAACUUAAAUAGAUCUAUCUACCAUUGUUGUUGUCGUUGCUUA